rnacentral:rRNA from 1 species
AUUGAACGCUGGCGGCAUGCCUUACACAUGCAAGUCGAACGGCAGCACGGGAGCAAUCCUGGUGGCGAGUGGCGAACGGGUGAGUAAUGUAUCGGGACGUGCCUAGUUGUGGGGGAUAACGUAGAGAAAUUUACGCUAAUACCGCAUACGAUCUAUGGAUGAAAGCGGGGGAUCGCAAGACCUCGCGCAGUUAGAGCGGCCGAUAUCAGAUUAGGUUGUUGGUGGGGUAAAAGCUCACCAAGCCGACGAUCUGUAGCUGGUUUGAGAGAACGACCAGCCACACUGGGACUGAGACACGGCCCAGACUCCUACGGGAGGCAGCAGUGGGGAAUUUUGGACAAUGGGGGCAACCCUGAUCCAGCAAUGCCGCGUGCAGGAAGAAGGCCUUCGGGUUGUAAACUGCUUUUGUACGGAACGAAACGGUCCUUUCUAAUACAGAGGGCUAAUGACGGUACCGUAAGAAUAAGCACCGGCUAACUACGUGCCAGCAGCCGCGGUAA